CCCCAUAGAAGUUUCUAGAUGUCAUAUUCUUGCCAGUGUAGUCCUUAGGCACGCCAGCAUAUGUUACAGCUUGGAAAAUUUUUACGUCGUUCAUAUCGUAAGUUGGUCAAUGUAAGCUCGAGAAUGAGACCAUCCGUGAAAAAUGAUGGAAAAAAAUUGAGUCCCUAAAAUAAUUUCCGCGGAUGACAGUAACGAGGAAUGAACAGUGACGCGGGUGAACAAUAACGCGGAAUGGACAGUAACGCGGUUGAACAGUACGCGGAAUGAACAUUGACGAUCAGAAAAUUAAAAUCGGGAAAACCCUCAUUUUUUCACUAUUCCUACCUCUCUCUCACCCCUGAACUCUCUCUAAACUCUCCCAAACCCUCCUAAAAGUUCUCUAAACCUUCCAAGUUGAAUUCCUCCAAAUCAAAUCAAGAUUUCAUCUUAGGAAUUGGAAACUAGUUACGAAAGGAUUAUGGUAUUGGGUGCUUGAUGUGUGGCUAAUUAUUGAAGCUUGGAGCUAGGAUUUUUAGUUGAGUUUUCUGGGCAAUAAGACGCAAGAGGAUUAUGUUAAGUUUGGUUGUGGAUUGAGAAGGAGAUUAUCCAGGUCUUGAGAUUACGUAUGUUGAUGAUGUUAGCUCAAAGAUAUUUAUUGGAGGUAGCACGACUUUAUGUCACUCCGAGAGUUCUAGUUAUUCAUCUUAUUUAUGCAUUGCAUUUAUUUAUACAUAUGCACAUUGACCCAUGACCAGAAGGCAUUAUAUACGCAUAUAUUAUAUGUAUAUGGGGUAUGGGGAAAGGGAUAGGCAUUAUAUAUGCAUUACCACCUGAUCAGUUGGUACACAGUGAUGAUGAUGAUGAUGAUGAUAUAUGGAUCGGGUCGUACGUUUCUCGGCACUGUUAUAUGAUAUACGGAUCGGGCCGUACGUUCCUCGGCACUAACAUAUGGGAUAUGGAUCGGGCUGUACGUUCCAUAACACUGACAGUUAUAUUAUGACAUAUGCAAAUCAUACGCCCUCAGAGGCACUUUCAGUUAUAAAAAGUUAUGUAGAUAUUUACAGAUGUUAGUCAAGGAUGCAUUCAGAUAUUCAGAUUAGCUUUCAUGUUUGAGAAGUCUCUCAUAUUUCUUAUGUACUUGAUGUUCUUAUGCCUUACAUACUCAAUACAUUAUUUGUACUGACUCCCCUAUUGCCUGGGGGGCUGCGUUUCAUGCCCGUAGGUCUGCAGAUACAGGUUAGUGAUUGAUGGAUAUAAAUUAUUCAUGUAAUUUUGUAUAUAAAAAAUAAGAUUUAUAAAUAAAACAUGAAUAAUACUAUCAUAUUCCUGCAUAUCUUCUAACAAAUCUUGCAGGAAAAAGAAUACAAGAGAAAUAAAGAGAAGGAACAAAUUGCCAAAGAAAAGAAGAGAACCACUUAUGCAUCUACAACUCCGUAGACACAUCCGUGAAAAUUUACAAUCACAUCUAUGACAUCCGCAGACGCGUCCGUCACCACAUUCGCAUCUAUGGCUUCCACAGACGCGUCCGUCACCACAGUCGCAUCUAUGGCAUCCACAGACGCGUCCGUCACCACAAUCGCAUCUAUGACAUCCACAGACGCGUCCGUCACCACAGUCGCAUCUAUGGCAUCCACAGAUGCGUCUACGGAGAAAAAGUCAGGCAUCCAUUUCUAUAAGUAGCAAGCUACUCUGAAGACAAAGGUCAUCCAAUUUUUAGCAAGAUACAAGAAAUAGUCUUUGCUUUAUUUCUCUUCUUUUUAUUUUAUAUUUGUAGGAGUGGUAUUUUAUUUUUGAUUUCUUUCUUACAUACUCCUUAAUGGAGUAGUUUCUUUUUGUUGGAAUAGUUGAAAAAGCUUGGUAUGAUGUUAUAAUAUUGUCUUUACUUUAAA